GACGAACGCUGGCGGCGUGCUUAACACAUGCAAGUCGAGCGAUGAAGUUCCUUCGGGAAUGGAUUAGCGGCGGACGGGUGAGUAACACGUGGGUAACCUGCCUCAUAGAGGGGAAUAGCCUUCCGAAAGGAAGAUUAAUACCGCAUAAGAUUGUAGUACCGCAUGGUACAGCAAUUAAAGGAGUAAUCCGCUAUGAGAUGGACCCGCGUCGCAUUAGCUAGUUGGUGAGGUAACGGCUCACCAAGGCGACGAUGCGUAGCCGACCUGAGAGGGUGAUCUGCCACAUUGGGACUGAGACACGGCCCAGACUCCUACGGGAGGCAGCAGUGGGGAAUAUUGCACAAUGGGGGAAACCCUGAUGCAGCAACGCCGCGUGAGUGAUGACGGUCUUCGGAUUGUAAAACUCUGUCUUCAGGGACGAUAAUGACGGUACCUGAGGAGGAAGCCACGGCUAACUACGUGCCAGCCGCCGCCGUAA
rnacentral:rRNA from 1 species